rnacentral:lncRNA from 1 species
AGUAAAUAGAGAUGAAAAUAAUACUGAAUGAAGCUCAUUGAUUUGGUGUUUGUGUUUUGUUUUCUAGAGUUUCUAAGGCCCUUUGGAAAUCAAGUAGAAGCCAAACUAAGGCUGUGUUGUUCCUCAAAGUAUAGCAUGGGAUCUCCUAAGGAGAUGAGGGACCACACUGGGAAUCCUGGCAGGAACAAUAAGGGAAAAGCAGUCACUGCCCAGAAUGCUUGCAGCUAUCUGGAUGAAACUGGGAAAGAGGGAAGGAAGAAAAUGGAUUUGCUAAGAAGAAAAGUGAUUUGCCCAAGGUCAUAUUUUAAACUACUGCUGGAUAGAGUUGGGGCAUAUUGUCAUCUUCUUAUUAUACUAAAAUGCAUAUAUGUCUGGAAAAUUGGAACUUAUUU